rnacentral:lncRNA from 1 species
CCCAACCUGGCAGUUACACAGAGCCCAUGACAGAACCUAGGGCAUUGCUUUCAGUUUUAUUAUUAUCUCUAUUCUGCAGGUGUGGAGUUGGAGACUCAAAAAUGUUAAAUGAACUGCCUAAGAGCAGAUAAAGAGCAAGGGGAAGAGGUGGAAUUCAAACUUAGAUUUCCUCGUGCCAAAUGUCACCAUGUCAUCAGAUCCUCCUCCCCCUCCCAAGGCCUCUGAUCCUCGAACAUGGUUGGCAAGUCACACUCACUGUGGCCAGAUUCUGGACUGGUCAGAAAACUUCAUUUGGUGCAAAGCCAGUUGGUGGAAUGACUGCAACCCAGACUUGAGUGAGGCAUCUGUCAGAAAAGGAAAAACAUGCUUCUCCAUCACAGUGACAUUUAAGAAGAGGCCCAUCUUCCAUUUGGGAAAAGUGCUUUGCACACGUGUCCAGCAGAAACCAAGCUACUCAAACCAGAUGACCUUCUGCUAUGUUUGAAUGCCUGGACAUCUGAAAAGGCUGAACCUUAAAUGAAUGAAUGACUGGAUUUGGCAGCCUCUUCAUCAGUUUUCAAACUUUUUCAAGUCAGUGGAAAAGAGUAGUGGUGGAUACAGUAACUCUCCAUCCUGAACUUUUCUAGGAGAGUCCAACAUUUUGAAUAAUCUGUCAUUCUCUGCAAAAAGUAUUAUCACACUUAUGAUGUACCCUGAUUUAGGGUUCAGAAAAAAAAUGCCCUAUGUGUUUAUAUAUCAAAUCCCUUCCUGGACAAUAGCUUAUGAUUACAGAGUGAUGCAAUAACAAUAGGAUUGUUAGCUUGGUUUAAAUUUAUUAUGUUGCUAUAAACUAAGGAGAAUUUAUUUUGAUGUUAACCCACUUUGUUUCAUAGACUGAAUGCUACAUCCCCAAAUUCCCUUGAAUCUAACUGACUUUCUACUUGACUAUGGCCCAGGCUAAAAGACAAUAGAUAAAAGGAAAACAUUAACCAAAAUACUAAACAAUAAUGGAAUGUUCCCGUUAAUCAGAUUUUCUGAUUACCUAAGGAUUAGGCAGAAACAACUUUUGCAAAAAUAAAAUUUCUGAAAUUUAUGAGUCA